CAUACGUGUUGGCAACCGUCCUGCUGUGGCGGCGAUGAUCUGUAUUAUAAUUUAUGCCAGCGUUGAGUUUAGGUCGUUCGUACAAACGUACACCUGCGUUCAGGGCGAAUGUAAGACCCCACAUGACACAUAAAUACAUAAUAAUAUGUAGGCAUAUGGCAGGUUCAAAAAUAUAUUCAUACAUAAUAACAAAACUUCGAUACUAGAACAAAUCCAGAAUCAGGGCUGACAAACUAAAUAUGUAGUUAUUGGUCUUUUUGUUACACCUAGUAUAUACACGUUACUAAGAAUUUAAAAAACGGGAAUUUUAUCGAUUUUCCUGGUAAGUUUCUCCUUGCGUACAUAAUAGACCUAUAACAAAAUCCAAUAACUCAUAGAUUUGUUUCAAAAAAGAAUAAUUGAGAAAUUUAGUCAUAUAGUUUUUACAACAUUUAGUAUUGUUUUUUGAAAGCGAUUAUUUAUCGUUGAUUUUUAAUUUAAUAUCACAACAUAAAUGUAUGCUGCAGCGUACCUCCUCCCCACCCCCCAACACCCAAUAAUGUUUUAUCUUAAACAUUUAUUAAACGUAAAUAUUAUACAGAGUUGAAACCAUGAAAAAUAAUAAAUCACUUAAAUCAUUACAUUUUGGCAUUGUGAGAUUUUAAUCUUAUAUCUAUACGGAUAUUAUAUUGCCUUCAUUAAUAACUGUCUUUGCGUGACCUUAGCUACACCUUUAUAUG